ACGAACGCUGGCGGCGUGCCUAAUACAUGCAAGUAGAACGCUGAAGAGAGGAGCUUGCUCUUCUUGGAUGAGUUGCGAACGGGUGAGUAACGCGUAGGUAACCUGCCUUGUAGCGGGGGAUAACUAUUGGAAACGAUAGCUAAUACCGCAUAACAAUGGAUGACACAUGUCAUUUAUUUGAAAGGGGCAAUUGUUCCACUACAAGAUGGACCUGCGUUGUAUUAGCUAGUAGGUGAGGUAAUGGCUCACCUAGGCGACGAUACAUAGCCGACCUGAGAGGGUGAUCGGCCACACUGGGACUGAGACACGGCCCAGACUCCUACGGGAGGCAGCAGUAGGGAAUCUUCGGCAAUGGGGGCAACCCUGACCGAGCAACGCCGCGUGAGUGAAGAAGGUUUUCGGAUCGUAAAGCUCUGUUGUAAGUCAAGAACGGGUGUGAGAGUGGAAAGUUCACACUGUGACGGUAGCUUACCAGAAAGGGACGGCUAACUACGUGCCAGCAGCCGCGGUAAUACGUAGGUCCCGAGCGUUGUCCGGAUUUAUUGGGCGUAAAGCGAGCGCAGGCGGUUUGAUAAGUCUGAAGUUAAAGGCUGUGGCUCAACCAUAGUUCGCUUUGGAAACUGUCAAACUUGAGUGCAGAAGGGGAGAGUGGAAUUCCAUGUGUAGCGGUGAAAUGCGUAGAUAUAUGGAGGAACACCGGUGGCGAAAGCGGCUCUCUGGUCUGUAACUGACGCUGAGGCUCGAAAGCGUGGGGAGCGAACAGGAUUAUAUACCCUGGUAGUCCACGCCGUAAACGAUGAGUGCUAGGUGUUGGAUCCUUUCCGGGAUUCAGUGCCGCAGCUAACGCAUUAAGCACUCCGCCUGGGGAGUACGACCGCAAGGUUGAAACUCAAAGGAAUUGACGGGGGCCCGCACAAGCGGUGGAGCAUGUGGUUUAAUUCGAAGCAACGCGAAGAACCUUACCAGGUCUUGACAUCGGAUGCAUACCUAAGAGAUUAGGGAAGUCCUUCGGGACAUCCAGACAGGUGGUGCAUGGUUGUCGUCAGCUCGUGUCGUGAGAUGUUGGGUUAAGUCCCGCAACGAGCGCAACCCCUAUUGUUAGUUGCCAUCAUUCAGUUGGGCACUCUAGCGAGACUGCCGGUAAUAAACCGGAGGAAGGUGGGGAUGACGUCAAAUCAUCAUGCCCCUUAUGACCUGGGCUACACACGUGCUACAAUGGUUGGUACAACGAGUUGCGAGUCGGUGACGGCGAGCUAAUCUCUUAAAGCCAAUCUCAGUUCGGAUUGUAGGCUGCAACUCGCCUACAUGAAGUCGGAAUCGCUAGUAAUCGCGGAUCAGCACGCCGCGGUGAAUACGUUCCCGGGCCUUGUACACACCGCCCGUCACACCACGAGAGUUUGUAACACCCGAAGUCGGUGAGGUAACCUUUUGGAGCCAGCCGCCUAAGGUGGGACAGAUGAUUGGGGUG
rnacentral:rRNA from 1 species